rnacentral:rRNA from 1 species
CAUGAAGUUGGAAUUGCUAGUAAUCGCGGAUCAGCAUGCCGCGGUGAAUACGUUCCCGGGCCUUGUACACACCGCCCGUCACACCAUGAGAGUCGGGAACACCCGAAGUCCGUAGUCUAACCGCAAGGAGGGCGCGGCCGAAGGUGGGUUCGAUAAUUGGGGUGAAGUCGUAACAAGGUAGC